UUAGGCUGCAGUGAAUUCUACAAAGAGGCUAUGGGAAAGAAACCUGGAAAGUACCCUUGGCUGUGUACAUUUGAGUAAAGAGAGCACUAUAAAAUCAAAAACCAAUGAAAUGGUUUCCAGAACACAGAACUAUUAAGCUUAAGAAAAGGACAGAAGGAACUGAAGAGAGAGGAACUGUUUUGGAGCAUCACACUUCCACCUCAGAAGAAAUAAGGAAGGAAGGAGGAGGGUGUUCCCACGGCUCUUCAACCAGGCCGGCUCUUCAGCCUACAUCCCCAUCUCAUCAAGUAAAAGGGAUUUUUCAACUGGACCAACCAGAUGGUUUAACAGUGCACUCCCACACCAUUCAACUACGCAAGGGAGAUACACUUAACAUAUGCAGUCGUAUAACACCUACUAACAUUUUCAAACAUUAAACCUUUAAAAAAGAGUUCUAAAGAAAUAGAAGCUUGAAGUAUCAUCUCUCAAGUAUAUAGACACUACUUCAUGGUGUGGUAAUAUAUGCAUAUAGAAGCUAGUAAACACCUCCAGGAGAUGCAAAAGGAAUUAGAACUGCCACAAGGUGCAAGCAAAACCUUGAGGUAAUCAAUCUGCAUCCCAUUUUGGAUGAGAAUAUUUGCAACUUUGAAGGUUAUUUUAAGGACAGCAGCAGAAGAAUUAUGGCAGGUAUCUGAAAUUCAUUUCUGUGCUUUGCCGAGGACCCAUGGGAUGCCAUUUGCAGAUGAGAAAACUAAAGAAUAGCUUUAUCUUCCAGCUCUUCACGGAAAAAAAAAUGGCAACAAUAAAAUCAGCAACUCCUGCCAAAUAAAUGGGCAUAAAAAAGAAAUCAUAGACUGCUGGCAAUGGUGGGGAAAAAGUUAUAAAAAUUGUCUCUGCACCAUCUUCCUUUUGUCCUCUAAAAUAUUCACAUUAGCAAAAGUAUAUAACAGCUGAUGAAGAAAUACUGAUAAUUUGUCUUUUUCUGUUUUUCCUCUUCUAAUCCUUCACCCAUCUGAGCUAAAGUCUAGACCUAAGGAGGCUACUAAUUCAGGGAUCGAGUAAUCUGCCAAGCAAGAGUUUAUUCAAGCACAGUUUGAAAUAAAGGUUUCAAAUGCAUAGCCUGUCGAUACUUUGGAAGGAUUCUCAUCAUAACGAGUAUGCAAUUUGCUAUAAAGAAGAAUGCCCAUUACGGACUAAAUGUUUAUGUCCUCCUAAAAUUCAUAUGUUGAAGGCCUAACUCUCAAUGUGAUGAUUAUGUGGAGAUGGUGCCUUUGGGAGGAUAUGGGAGGACACCUGAGACGGCAGGCCAGAAGUCACUCAGUAGGAGAAACAUCCGUUAGAAGUAAUAAUGUGGGAUUGCUGAAGUAAAGACUAUAGGAAGAAAAAAGUGUCUGUGUGUAGGAAACGGAAAGGGAGAGAAAAAUACACUGAGAUGGUAAAGUAAGGAAGUGGAAGAUCAGCAGAAUGUGCAGAUGCCAAGCCAUCCAAGAAAAUCAUCUCUUGUGAUUGUUGCGAAGUCAACUAGCUAAUGUGACUCACUGCUAGGCUGUUGGAUCUGAGACUUAUGUGGGAUAAUUUAGAAACUUGCUAGUGUCUUAAGAUCAAUUACUCACCAAUGAGAGUGGCAUUGAACUGUGAAUGUUCCUCCUAGAUUUUCCAUGAAGACUAAUGGUUUUGUCUUGUCUUGAAUUUGUUUUAAUUACAAUUUGUAUACAUCCUGUUCCACCCUGAAAUUUUUAUUUUCCAAAUGGUUUUUCAUUUAAAGAGACUAAAUAAAGGUUCUGACUGAGUUGUA
ensembl:lncRNA LINC00343 long intergenic non-protein coding RNA 343